UACGUAGGGUGCAAGCGUUAUCCGGAAUUAUUGGGCGUAAAGAGCUCGUAGGCGGUUGUCGCGCUCUGUCUGUGAAAACCUAGGCUACCACGUGGCUUGCAGUGGGUACGGGCAGACUAGAGUGCGGUAGGGGAGACUGGAAUUCCUGGUGUAGCGGUGGAAUGCGCAGAUAUCCAUAGGAACUCCGGUGGCGAAGGCGGCGUGCUGGACCCUUUCUGACGCUGAGGCGCGAAAGCCAGGGGAGCAAAGCGGG
rnacentral:rRNA from 1 species